GAUGAACGCUGGCGGCGUGCCUAAUACAUGCAAGUCGAGCGAACGGACGAGAAGUUUGCUUCUCUGAUGUUAGCGGCGGACGGGUGAGUAACACGUGGAUAACCUACCUAUAAGACUGGGAUAACUUCGGGAAACCGGAGCUAAUACCGGAUAAUAUUUUGAACCGCAUGGUUCAAAAGUGAAAGACGGUCUUGCUGUCACUUAUAGAUGGAUCCGCGCUGCAUUAGCUAGUUGGUAAGGUAACGGCUUACCAAGGCAACGAUGCAUAGCCGACCUGAGAGGGUGAUCGGCCACACUGGAACUGAGACACGGUCCAGACUCCUACGGGAGGCAGCAGUAGGGAAUCUUCCGCAAUGGGCGAAAGCCUGACGGAGCAACGCCGCGUGAGUGAUGAAGGUCUUCGGAUCGUAAAACUCUGUUAUUAGGGAAGAACAUAUGUGUAAGUAACUGUGCUCAUCUUGACGGUACCUAAUCAGAAAGCCACGGCUAACUACGUG
rnacentral:rRNA from 1 species